CAUCUGCUGCACCGACCACCCCGAGGUGCGCGCCCUGGUGGGGCGUGUGACGGAUCGCCGGAUCGUGACCUUCGGGUUUAAUGCCCAGGCGGAUGU
rnacentral:tRNA from 2 species